rnacentral:rRNA from 1 species
UAGGGAAUCUUCGGCAAUGGACGCAAGUCUGACCGAGCAACGCCGCGUGAGUGAAGAAGGUUUUCGGAUCGUAAAACUCUGUUGUUAGAGAAGAACAAGGACGUUAGUAACUGAACGUCCCCUGACGGUAUCUAACCAGAAAGCCACGGCUAACUACGUGCCAGCAGCCGCGGUAAUACGUAGGUGGCAAGCGUUGUCCGGAUUUAUUGGGCGUAAAGCGAGCGCAGGCGGUUUCUUAAGUCUGAUGUGAAAGCCCCCGGCUCAACCGGGGAGGGUCAUUGGAAACUGGGAGACUUGAGGGCAGAAGAGGAGAGUGGAAUUCCAUGUGUAGCGGUGAAAUGCGUAGAUAUAUGGAGGAACACCAGUGGCGAAGGCGGCUCUCUGGUCUGUAACUGACGCUGAGGCUCGAAAGCGUGGGGAGCAAACAGG